CACGCACAAAUGCAGGUCAGGCUGAGUAUCUUUGCUCUCAGCACUGCUCUAAAAAAAGCAUUUCUUACUUAUCAAACCGGGCUGCAUUCUUACUUAGGAACUUCUACUGCAAAAGUGCAGCUGGUCAGAAAUCUGGAUUUCAUGGGGGACGUUCCUGUGCUUUCCAGCUUCUGUUAUACGCUGGGGCAGGGAUGUUUCUAGCAUCGAAAGUUCUAAAGAGUUUUAAUUGAAGGACAUUUUUGUUUCAGUGUUAAGAUUCAGUUCAGUCCUCUAACCUGCUGUUCUUUCCAGAGAUGUCGCAAUAAGGAGCCUUCGUGCUGAGCAACAAACCCCCUGAGACCCUGCGGAGGGUUUGGCUUAGUGCUGGUUUGUGUUAAAGCACAAUCAGUUCAUGUUAAGCUUUCUAAUGAGAAAACGAGGAGGACAAAGAUUGGGUUGCAAAGCUGCUGGAGUGGUUGCCAAGUGGGGGAUAGGCAGCACCUCCAGAUUUCUCAGGAGAUUUUACUGCAGUGCUGGCAGCAGUGAGGGAAGAUUCAAAUAAGCAGCAGAAAGCAGUGCAAGAAAGUGUGCAAUUCUCACCAUGUGGCAUGCUUCCCCAGUUUCUGGACCCAAGAGUAGCAAACUUGAAGAGUUCUCCUGGGCAACGUUUAAGAUCCCAACCCAGAGAGCCUUUUCGGUUGGUGACCCUGCUGAUGGCAGCAAUGUUACACUUGAUAUCCAGACAUUGGUCUCUGCAGAAAGAGUGUUACAAACAGCAACGUGUCUGGUACAGAUGGGGAAAACCCUUCUGAGCCAUGGAGUGAAUUUACUGCGCUUUCACUGUGACACAGAGCUGGAAAUACUUCAGGACUUGGCACCUUAUGCAAGAAGUCUGAAAACCUGAAUCUCCAUCUUGUGUUCAGACAAAAGUCUCCAGUUUCUCUGUGAGAUCAGGAGGCUAUGGCCACUGCAGAAUUGGGAUGCUCCCAUAGUGCUGUGCUAUUUUAGCUAUCAUGGCUGCUUUAAUUCAUGCUCCGGUGGUUGUUUUUAGGUUUUUAUUUUUUUCCCCAAAACCUUAAACAAAACAAAACAACCGCCCCAAUCUGAUCCAGCACACCUCUGCUUGACCUUUCUGUCUCCACCACGCCAUGCAGCUGGUCCUGCAGUUCAUUUGUGCUUUUUUUGUUGGUGCCACUUUUGCUCUCUUUCAAAAGAGAUGCGGAGAGGCCACAUCAAGCUACAUACACCCACACCCAUGCCAGAAUUGCAGAACCCUACAGCCAAGUCUGCUGCUUUCAGUAAAAGGGGGAGGGCUUUUAGAUACCUCAUAGAAGUGGAUUAAGACUCUAACAGCUUAAAAAGUACACAAAUAUUCAGAAAUAUCUGUGGUGCUCAUGAGUAAUGUUAUUAGCUUGAAGAUUACAGUGCUUAAUGUACAACAGGAUUUGAGGAUUUAAUAGUAAAGAUCCAGAGUAAUGUGGCAGAUGUCUUGCAUUAGAGUACACUUAAGUGUGUAUCAGAGUAGAAAAUAUUUUCUAUUUUAUUACAUUACAUAACAUAAGGGAAAGGUUUAAAAACAAGUUGUAUUAAUAGAUACGCUGCAUUUCUUCCUUAUUUGUGCUGGUGGAUAGCUAAACUUCUGACUUCCUUUGUUUUUGACGGUUACAUCAUGCAUGAUGGGUUUACCAAGAGAAUUAAUAUAAUGCUUCAGCUUAUUUUUCAUUCAAGAUCAUGAUGACGGAGCUCUGUCUGGUAAGCUGGUGAAGGUGCUUAACUUACUCCUCCCUUGCUUCUCUGUUGGCUGCACUGUCUGCUCCUGCAGACUCCAAAUAGAGCAUGAGCCUGCCUUGGGUGAAAGAUCCAUCCUGUCAGAUAAAGUCCCUCAAGGCUGUUCCCCAUAUAGCUCAGCUGCUACUGGCUGGGAAGGAGUGGAAGCAGAGAGCAAAGUAUGGCAGUAUAGACAGAUGUGAUGAUGGGGCAAAACUUUCAUGUAUGAGUAUUGUGCUCCUUUCCUUUUACAAGGCAUGUAGCAACCUUAGCAUGCAGGAGCUGUUAGGUAUAUCUCCUUCAGAGGUA
ensembl:lncRNA